GAUGAACGCUGGCGGCGUGCCUAAUACAUGCAAGUCGAGCGAACGGACGAGAAGCUUGCUACUCUGAUGUUAGCGGCGGACGGGUGAGUAACACGUGGAUCACCUACCUAUAAGACUAGGAUAACUUCGGGAAACCGGAGCUAAUACCGGAUGAUAUUUUGAACCGCAUGGUUCAAAAGUGAAAGACGGUCUUGCUGUCACUUAUAGAUGUAUCCGCGCUGCAUUAGCUAGUUGGUAAGGUAACGGCUUACCAAGGCAACGAUGCAUAGCCGACCUGGGAGGGUGAUCGGCCACACUGGAACUGAGACACGGUCCAGACUCCUACGGGAGGCAGCAGUAGGGAAUCUGCCGCAAUGGGCGAAAGCCUGACGGAGCAACGCCGCGUGAGUGAUGAAGGUCUUCGGAGCGUAAAACUCUGUUAUUAGGGAAGAACAUAUGUGUAAGGAACUGUGCACAUCUGGACGGUACCUUAUCAGAGAGGCACGGCUAACUACGGG
rnacentral:rRNA from 1 species